rnacentral:lncRNA from 1 species
UUUUCUCUCUAAUUGGAUGAACAGCUCCAAAUCUGGAUCUGCACUACGAUUAAUCUCCCAAAUUGCCUAUUGAAUUGCUCCACUACUGUUUUGGCAUUUGGAACCUUGCGAUUCCGGGAUUCUUCCUCUCUGCAACUCUCUCCAGAACUCAGCACUAUGCAAAAACCGAACCAGCCGCCAAGGCUCUCUCUCACUCUUUGCUUCGCUAACCCUAAAAAAACUUG